UAGCAUACAAGUAGACCUUGCCUGGCUUUGUUUAUAGCCAUGCAAGGGGGACAAUGUAUGCAACAGUAAUUUGGAAGUUUGUGCCAGCUCUAGCCAGCUUAAUUAAUGGCUGGAUAAAUUGCAGUAUUCCAACAUUC
rnacentral:snoRNA from 15 species